rnacentral:tRNA from 1 species
UCAUUAAGAAGCUUUCAUGGACAAGCAACAGCCUUUUAAGCUGAAAUUCGGUGACCUCCAACCACCCUUAAUGAU